rnacentral:lncRNA from 1 species
AGACAAUCAGCUGGAGUUUGCUGAAGAAUUCAAGGAUUCAGCACCUCAGAGGAGGGGAGAUGACCUCCUCUGGCAUCAAGAGAGCACUUGUAGCACAAAUCCAGGGGAGGAGAGGUCUGGAAUUCAGAUCUUCCGAAGAAAAAAAUGCUCUCCAUCUUCAUAGCAAAGUGAUAAGUAAUCAAAAGAACAAUGCUGAAAUACAUAUGAUAAGAGGUCAUCCUGGAAAAGUGAGAAAGAGUGUGCAAAAAACAACUACCCAGAUGAAUGCAUAAAGCAUAGGAGAAGCACAAAGAAUAUAUUAGUAUAUGGAUUCUGCUUUUUUUUUAAAGGAAAUAAAAUCUCAGUGAAACAAAA